ensembl:lncRNA
AUGACUCUCCAUAAAUACCUGCUGAAUGGAUUUGGAUUUUAUUAUUUCUUGGCAUUGUUGACACUUCUUAUGACACAAGCUGACGGGCUGCAAUGUUAUGCCUGUAACAUUGUGCAUAACCAGAGGUAUGUGGACGUAGGCUGUUCCAACCCAGAAGUCAUCACCUGCUCCCACUCCCACAAGGGCUUUAAGCAUCGCUUCUGCAUCAGAACAGAAAGUGUUGCGCUGGGAGUCAUGCUGACUAGUGGCUGCGCGACAGCCCGACACUGCCACACGGAGGAGCUGCCGGGAGUCAACAUCCACUGCUGCGACUCUGAUCUGUGCAACAGCGCCACCCGCUGGCGGACACCCACACUGCUGCCUGUUUGCUCAUUGACGUUUAAUCUGUUGUUUCAAAGGUUGCUCCUGUGGACGAAAUAACUUUGACCUUCACCACAAAAUCACGGCAGCUACGCUUCCGAUUCGAGACAUACAUACAGGAGGGAACUUGAAAAUAUAACUAUAAAAGAUGUAUAUAGACCCUGGAGAAUUAUGUGUGGAUAAACCAAACCUUCACGUAUCACAUCUGAUCUUCAGUUUAAAGUUAUCUUUGGAUCAUUUUUAAAUCAUUAAAUCAUCAUCCAAAAAUAAAUAAAUAAAUAAAAUAAAUUCA